GAUGAACGCCGGCGGUGUGCCUAAUACAUGCAAGUCGUACGCACUGGCCCAACUGAUUGAUGGUGCUUGCACCUGAUUGACGAUGGAUCACCAGUGAGUGGCGGACGGGUGAGUAACACGUAGGUAACCUGCCCCGGAGCGGGGGAUAACAUUUGGAAACAGAUGCUAAUACCGCAUAACAACAAAAGCCACAUGGCUUUUGUUUGAAAGAUGGCUUUGGCUAUCACUCUGGGAUGGACCUGCGGUGCAUUAGCUAGUUGGUAAGGUAACGGCUUACCAAGGCGAUGAUGCAUAGCCGAGUUGAGAGACUGAUCGGCCACAAUGGAACUGAGACACGGUCCAUACUCCUACGGGAGGCAGCAGUAGGGAAUCUUCCACAAUGGGCGCAAGCCUGAUGGAGCAACACCGCGUGAGUGAAGAAGGGUUUCGGCUCGUAAAGCUCUGUUGUUGGAGAAGAAUGUGCGUGAGAGUAACUGUUCACGCAGUGACGGUAUCCAACCAGAAAGUCACGGCUAACUACGUGCCAGCCGCCGCCGUAA
rnacentral:rRNA from 1 species